UACAGAGGUCUCAAGCGUUGUUCGGAUUCAUUGGGCGUAAAGGGUGUCGUAGGUGGCGCCGUAAGUCGGUGUGAAAUUCCGGGGCUCAACCCCGGAACUGCACUUGAUACUGCAGUGCUCGAGGACUGGAGAGGAGAUCGGAAUUCAUGGUGUAGCAGUGAAAUGCGUAGAUAUCAUGAGGAAGACCAGUGGCGAAGGCGGAUCUCUGGACAGUUCCUGACACUGAGGCACGAAGGCCAGGGGAGCAAACGGG
rnacentral:rRNA from 1 species